rnacentral:rRNA from 1 species
GACGAACGCUGGCGGCGUGCUUAACACAUGCAAGUCGAACGGAAAGGCCCUGCUUGUGUGGGGUGCUCGAGUGGCGAACGGGUGAGUAACACGUGAGUAACCUGCCCUGGAGUGUGGGAUAACUUCAGGAAACUGGGGCUAAUACCGGAUAGGAGCUCCUGCUGCAGGGGGGGGGUUGGAAAGUUUAGGCGGUGUGGGAUGGACUCGCGGCUUAUCAGCUUGUUGGUGGGGUAGUGGCUAAGCAGGGCUUUGACGGGUAGCCGGCCUGAGAGGGUGACCGGCCACAUUGGGACUGAGAUACGGCCCAGUCUGCUACGGGAGGCAGCAGUGGGGAAUAUUGCACAAUGGGCGGACGCCUGAUGCAGCGACGCCGCGUGCGGGAUGACGGCCUUCGGGUUGUAAACCGCUUUCGCCUGUGACGAAGCGUGAGUGACGGUAAUGGGUAAAGAAGCACCGGCUAACUACGUG